ACAGGAGAGAGAGAUGGAAGAAAAGCAGGAAGUGAUUAAGGAAGCAGAGGAAGAGUACAGGGAAAGAGAAGAGAGAGGAAAGGAAGUAAGCAUGAAGAAACAUGUAGUAGUUAAUGUUAAAGCAAAAGCACGGGAAGUCUUCAAUAGGCGUAAAGAGAGGAGGUUAGAAGUGUUGAAGGGGGAACGAGAACACAUAGAAAGAGGACAACAAAUCAGGAGGGAGAAGGAGGAAAGACGGCUGGAGAUGGAAAGAAAACAGGAGAGGGCAAGACAACAAGAGGAGCAGGAUAAAAAACGAGAGAUUGAAAUUGCUAGACAGAAAGAAAUGUUGAGACUAAGAGAGGAGGAGAGGCAGAGAGAGGAAGAGAGAGAGGAGGAGAGAAAGAAAGCCAUUAAAUCCCAUUUAUCUUUAAUCAGAGAGAGAGAAGAAAUAAUACAGGCAAAAAAAAGAGAGGAGAUGGUGGAAGAGGAAAGAAGGGAGAUCCUUGAGUACAAGAGGGGUGACUUAGAGGAGGAGGAAAAGGAAGAUGACAAGGAGGACAUUCUCUCACCCGAUAAAAGUAUCCGAAGGAGAGCUGUGGGCUGGGUGAAUAAGAAGUGGGAGAAGAGGAACCUCAGAAAGAUAGAGAGAACGUAUCAGAGAGAGGCUGAGGAGGGCCAUAAGAUCGUCCACAUAGCCAUCCCUGGACACACAAGGCUAACAUCCACCAUGACCCGGGCAGAGAGAGAGAGGGAGAAGAGGAAGGAGCUGCUGAAGGCUGAGGAGAGAAGGAAGAAGAUGGAGGAUUUCAAUAAGCAGUGGAGAGAGCGGUCCCUGCUUAAAAAACAGACUCAUCAACAACUGAAGGAGGAGAGGGAGAGGAUGAAGGAAAACUACCUGGAGCAGAUGAAUCUGGAGGCUGAUGCUCAAAUCAACANNNNNNNNNNAGACAACUGGAUAAGGCAGUUAACCUACUGUUCCUAGGUAGUUGUUGUAAAUAAGAAUUUGUUCUUAACUGACUGAACUAGUUAAAUAAAUUAAAAAACAUAUAUAAAUCUAAUAUUCUAAAUCAGCUGAUGAUAGUGAAUAAGUUAAACCCCUUGUUUUUACCAUUCGGUGUCAUAAUCACUUUUUGGAGGUGAAAUGUAGCUAAAAAUGUGCCAUCCUCUGCUCAGAGGGUUAAGGAACCGUCUUAAAACUGCAUCGCAUACAAUUGCCUGUAAAUGAAAAAUAUCANNNNNNNNNNCAAAUAUGGUUUCUACUGACAAUUGAGAUGUACAAACUAUGGCACAAGGGGACAACGAGUGGACUACAGGAUAUCUGUAAUUUAGAUUAAGACAAUGAGAGAGCUAGGAUGAACGUCGUCAAUAUAACUAUUUGUUCAGCACUUUUGAAAUGUACAGCGACAGAAUUUUGAACAUGGGCCAUUCUUACAGUAUUCUCCCUGUACACCAAGUCAUAACUGCAUAUAAGCAGACAAUGAAAGCUCUUACAAUAUUUGAUGAUUACAUUUCUCUAAAACAGGCUAUAGUCUACAUGUGCACCACCAAGUCAGAGCAGUAGGCUAAGUUAUGAGAGGGGAAAGGGACAACAUUAUUAGGGUGAGGCACAUGGGCUACUAACAGCUUACUACACAAAAUACACUUAGUAUUACUUUCUUAGAUACAGUAUACAUAUCUCCCUGGCAUAUUACAUCAUUUAUAGAGCAGCAUUCAAUACAUUUUUGGACACCUUGUUAUGCUGUGCUCACUUGAACAGGAAGGUGUAGUGGCGGUUUGGCAUCAAAGUCUGUCAUUCUCUGGAUUUAUGCUGCUUUCAAGACAACUGGAUAAGGCAGUUAACCUACUGUUCCUAGGUAGUUGUUGUAAAUAAGAAUUUGUUCUUAACUGACUGAACUAGUUAAAUAAAUUAAAAAACAUAUAUAAAUCUAAUAUUCUAAAUCAGCUGAUGAUAGUGAAUAAGUUAAACCCCUUGUUUUUACCAUUCGGUGUCAUAAUCACUUUUUGGAGGUGAAAUGUAGCUAAAAAUGUGCCAUCCUCUGCUCAGAGGGUUAAGGAACCGUCUUAAAACUGCAUCGCAUACAAUUGCCUGUAAAUGAAAAAUAUCAAUACCUUCUCAACGACAUGACAUAGAGAUCUCAAACAAAUUUGACACUGUAAAGAGACCUCUUUUCUCAAAUGCAAUUAGUUACAUUUUCUUUUACUUCUCUAAAAUCUACAAAAUGUAAAAUAAAUCACUUUACAUAAAAGUUCUUCAAAAAAACAUCAAUAUCUUCCCCUCCAUAUAACUUUCAUGAAUACAAUCAACUGUGAUUGGUUCAGGGACCUCAUCCCUCCAAUCAAUAUCAAUUGCUUUUGUAUUUCUUGACUUUGGUGAUAUUCUACCAACUUAAAUUGACUUUACAUUAAAGAUACUUUCUUAAAACGCCAAUAGCUUCCACCCCAUAUUACUUUAAUGAAUACAAACAACUGUCAUUGGUUCAGGAACCUCAUCCCACUAUAAAACUUACUUUCAAUUUUUAUUAAAUUAAUUUGAAUUGACUUUACCUGAAAAAUGCUUCCCUAAAACUUCAGUAUCUUCCACCCCAUAUUACUUUUAUGAAUACAACAAACUGAUAUUGGUUCACAGACCUCUUCCCUCCAAUCCACGGUAAUUACGUUUGGACAUGUCAAAUUGAAAACAUUAUUGGUGUUGUUGAAUUAGGUUUUCAUAAUAGCAAGCUAGGACUGAUGGUUUGGUUNNNNNNNNNNUCUAAACUAGCAAGUAUGUCUGUUUGUUACCAAGGCAACUACUGUUGCUAUCUAGUAAACUUGCUAGCUACUUCAAUGGAUGUUGAACACAUUUCUACCGGCAAAUGUGUUAAAUUAUAUCCAUGGUAUAAAAGGGAUAAUCAACUCAGGGCUUUUUGGUUCUCUGGAAAAUAAUGCAAGUCCAUGGAAGGUCAGUUCCACAGUGUUCAUUAUUUACCAUAGAACUCAUAGUCCCUCGUUGAUUAUCCCUUACAUCACUUUAUGAGCUGGAUUUGCCUUUCUUUGCAACAGUGGAAGCUGCUGAGGAGACGACGGCUCAUAGUCAAUGGAGUGGGUUCAACCACAUUAAAGAUGUGGUUUCCAUGUGUUUGAUACCACUCAAUUGACUUCAUUCCAGACAUUAUUAUGAGCUGUCUUCCCCUCAGCAGCCUCCACUGCUUUGCAAUUAGUGUGUUUGUUUUCAGUUGUUAGCAUUUAGCUAACAGCGUCUAUGGGAAUUUGCUAUCAGUUUGUGCUAAUUUGUUAGCAUUCUGGAAAUAGAGGGCAAUAGGUUUUUCUUGUGUUUUUAGCACCCCCUCAUGUGCUAUGCCGGUAAUACUGUAAAUCCCGGUAUGAGAGAAGGAUGGUAUGACAAUAUGAAAAUCUGGAUACCGCCCAAGCCUAAUCACCACAACUACCACACCUAACUACCACAACUACCACACCUACCUAUCACAACUACCACACCUACUUAUCCCAACUACCACAUCUACCUACCAUAACUACCAGGCCUACGUACCAAAUCUACCAAACCUACCUACCACAACACCUACCUACCACAAAUACCACCCCUAUGUAUCACAACUACCACACUUACCUACCAAAACUACCACACGUACGUACCACAACUACUACACCAACCUAUCACAACUACCACACCCACCAUCACCACACCUACCGCAACUACCAUCACCACAACUACAAAACCUACCAUCACCAAACCUACCUAACACAACUUCCACACCUACGUACCAUAACAUCCAUACCUAUCUACCACAACUACCACACCAACCUACCACAACUACCACAUCGACCUACCACAACUAUCACACCUACCAUCAACACAUCUACAAUCAACAAAUACCACAACUAUCACAUCUACUUUCACCAAACAUACCACAGCUACCAUCACCACACCUACCAUCACCAAACCUACCUACCACAUCUACCACAACUACCUACCACAACCACCACACCUAUCAUCACCACACCUACCACCACAAGUAACAUACCUACCAUCACCUCAUCUCUCACACCUACCAUCACCAAACCUACCACACCUACCAUCAUCACACCUACCAUACCUACCUUCACCAAACCAACCAUCACCACAGCUACCUCACCUACCAUUACCACACCCUCCAAACCCACCUACCUACCUACCUACCACAUCUACUACACCUACUUACCACAACUAUCACACUUACCUAACACAGCUGUUACACCCAAUAGUUUUCCGGAGCCGACAGAGAUGGCCGCCUCGCUUCGCGUUCCUAGGAAACUAUGCAGUUUUUUGUUUUUUUUACGUGUUAUUUCUUACAUUAGUACCCCAGGUCAUCUUAGGUUUCAUUACAUACAGUCGAGAAGAACUACUGAACAUAAGAGCAGCGUCAACUCACCAUCAGUACGACCAAGAAUAUGACUUUCGCGAAGCGGAUCCUGUGUUCUGCCUUUCACCCAGGACAACGGAAUGGAUCCAGCCGGCGACCCAAAAAAAACAACUUCGUAAAAGAGAGAAACGAGGCGGUCUUCUGGUCAGACUCCGGAGACGGGCACAUCGUGCACCACUCCCUAGCAUUCUUCUCGCCAAUGUCCAGUCUCUUGACAACAAGGUUGAUGAAAUCUGAGCAACGGUAGCAUUCCAGAGGGACAUCAGAGACUGUAACGUUCUUCGCUUCACGGAAACAUGGCUCACUGGAGAGACGCUAUCGGAGUCGGUGCAGCCAGCUGGUUUCUCCACGCAUCGCGCCGACAGAAACAAACAUCUUUCUGGUAAGAAGA
rnacentral:lncRNA from 13 species